GAUGAAGAACGCAGCAAAAUGCGAUAAGUAAUGUGAAUUGCAGAAUUCAGUGAAUCAUCGACUCUUUGAACGCACAUUGCGCCCGCCAGUAUUCUGGCGGGCAUGCCUGUUCGAGCGUCAUUUCAACCCUCAAGCACAGCUUGGUGUUGGGACUCGCGUUAAUUCGCGUUCCCCAAAUUGAUUGGCGGUCACGUCGAGCUUCCAUAGCGUAGUAGUAAAACCCUCGUUACUGGUAAUCGUCGCGGCCACGCCGUUAAACCCCAACUUCUGAAUGUUGACCUCGGAUCAGGUAGGAAUACCCGCUGAACUUAAGCAUAUCAAUAAGCGAGGA
rnacentral:misc_RNA from 1 species